ensembl:lncRNA
GGCCGCCCCAUCGCCCCAUUGGGCGCCGCUCCAAACGUGCCCGAGUGGUGACAGGAAUAAAGUGGGUCACAAGGCCUAGCGGGUCCCGGGCGCGAGCCCUCUCGCCGGCCGACUCGGCCUGCCCCCCGCGCCCAGCCUCGAGCGCGCUACGGCCCGGGCGCCUCCCGGGUCGCAGAACCCGCCGCGCCCCCCUGCCCCGCAGGUAACCCCGGCGGCCCGCCGACACCUCACACAGGCCCAGCGGAGUGCGACUCCCCGGGGCUCUGCGUUCUGCUAGCCGCCCCACCCCGGCCGCUGCUCCCGCCUCCCGGCCUGGCCGCAGCCGCCCCCACCCCCGGCCCCACACAGCGCCCCCCGCGCCCGCCCGCACGCCCGCCCGUGUCCUCACCGUGUGGCCGCUUGAGGCUUUGGCUUCCUCCCUCCCCCACCCGGGACUCUGGCGGCGGGGACUCGCGACUGCCAGGCCGCAACGACCGGGGAAACGCCGCGGCUCCGGGAGCCAGCAGCACCUAGGGCGGCCAGUGCGCGCCCCCAACCCACCCCUCCAAAUUCGCCGCUACUGCCGCGCUCCUCCCCCUCCCGGUCUUCCCCUCCUCCACCGGCUCCGGAAGCACGCAUGCGCCGCCGAGGCCAGCCGUCCGCCGCGCGUCCAACCGAGGCCCACCCUGUGGGGCGCACUCACCGGGAGCGCGCGCGCGCGCCGGCGGCCAGAUUUCCUUCGCGCUCUCGCCGGCCGGGGUUUCCUCUCUCCAGCCGGUAGCCGCCGGCCGAGUCCGUGAUUGUGCUCCCUCCCGGCGCAUGCGUCGUGGACCCGGGGCUCCGCGGCCGGUCGGGCUCUGCACUCGCCCCUCCCCUCGCGGCCGUCUUCCCCGGAGCGUCCGGGCGCGCAUGCGACUUUCCCCGUUAGGCAGCCCCGAGCCGCGCCGCGCCGCGCGGAGCUGCGCCACGGAAUCCCAGGCGCCCGAGGAAACUCCACUCCUGCGGGCCGGCGUGUGCUCGUUCUGCAGCCGCAGAGGGAAGCGGGGAUGCCCCGGGGUCCCCUCCCCCCCCCACGCAGGCCGGGAGGCGGGGCCUGGCGGAGGGUGCGGCCGCCCGCAGAGGUUUGGGAGGCUCUGGGCUCCCUGGGAUGCAGCGCUCUCUUCCUGUGGGAGCCACCGGCCCGACGAGGGCCUCGGUCUCUUGAAAAGCAAAGAGCUUAACUGACGCCAAGUUAAACUUCUCCAACCCGACUUGGAACAGGUCGGCUUCCUCUCCUGGAGUUACCUAUGACUCCUCACAUUCUGUGUUUAAUUAUUUACCAAGACCUGAUGAAAAUCCCGUGAUUUUUCUGCUCAGUCCUCUGCCACGGUUUGAGUAUUUCCCACAGAAACCUGCUCCUUCAGCCAUGGUCAAAGUUGUGAAAAGUGGAUCUUCGAUGGCCGUCUCUAACUUCACACUCAAGCAUGUCACGUAAGAAGAGUAUGGAAUACUUGGAAGCAUCAUUCAUUGAAACCAUGUUGCACUGUGGCUGCCUCCUCUUCUUCAUCCUCGCGUGUGUGUGUGUGUGUGUGUGUGUGUGUGUGUGUGUGUGUGUGUGUACUAAGGAUCAAAAAACUCUACCCCUCAACUACAUCUCCAGCUAUUGGCUCUUUCUAAGACAAGUCUCAAUAAAGUAUGUAGCCCAGGUUGCCCUCAAACUUGUGUUAUUACUCUAUCCCUGAAGCCAUAUCUCCUUGAUUUCCUAGUGAGUGCUGUCUUAACCUUUUCAUUCCAUGUUAAGUGACUAAGGCUUCAAUAGCAUCAAAUUGAAGUUGUCACUAAACUCUAAGAGUCCAAAGGGAGGCUGAAAUUUCAUCCUUGGCAGAUUUAUCUAUCUUGGC